rnacentral:lncRNA from 1 species
AUGGAAUCGAGGGUGUGUUUUGCUGUAGUUUUUUGGUUUGUGUCUCUAUUUUGUGCAGUGUAUAUUUUAAAUCGUGAUGCACAAUUUCAGUUGCUGACACUAAAAAGCCUAGCCAAAACUUCAGAUAAAGUUGAAUUCCUUGAAAAAAAGAAUGCAGAGUUGAAAACUCUGUUUGAGAAAUGUUAUUUCGGGUAUCCCCCAUGGCGUCCUCGAAAACGUUUAGUUCGACCAACACCUCCAAAUUUAGUACCUUUGUAUAGAGCCAAUAAUGAACCCACUGGAAUUUUCCAAGCCAAACUCGUACCACCUCUAAUGCCAAGAUUCAAUUUUGUGCCAAGCCUCGAAUAUGAAACUUUACGAAGAAAAUUGUACAUCGAUGUUCAAGACUUUUGGUGGUUCAUCUCAAGUCAGGUGAAAAAGUGAUCAAAGAAAAGAAGAAAAAGUGCCAGAGUUGAAUGACGAUUUUAAUAACUUACUGAGUUUGGGUGUAGAGUAUAAAGGUAGGUGUCUGCCUCUCUAUACGCUGUCUAAUUUUAUCUCCUCUCAUUUUCUUUCUGGAAUAUAAUGUUACAUUGAAAGGUAGAUAGAUGGACAGACCUAACUGUCGGGGGACAAAGCCCAAAAUACGAAAACUCUCAGGAUGUUGCAUCGAUAGUAAAACUGCAAAAUGACUUACCUCUGUAACAUCCCAGAUUUCUUUUAUUUUUUAAUUUCUUGGAGGAUGACUUGAUCUACACUAAUGCACAGAAUUUUGUGACUUUUUCUCGCGGGUGGGGAAAGAAGUGGUUGGUGGACUUUAGGAAAAAAUUAAGUAUUUGGUGAUUUUAAACAAUUAAAUUUGUCUUUAAGUUAACAUUGUGUCAGGUUCGACCCCUGAAAGUCGAUUUUCAGCUGUGCAACAUACUUUUAUUGACUUGUUUAAAAAGAUUUGUUCUAUUUCUGCCCAUAAACUCGUUUUUCUGCCCAAGUAGCAUUUUUCAAUGUAAAAGUUGCAAAAAAUUGAAACAAUGUUGGUAUUAGUUGCAAUUUUCAGUCAACUUUUGGUCGAUAAGUGCCGAUCUUUGGCGAUCUGAUCGGAAGACAAAGUUGCAAACUGCUGAGAUUGCAAAAUUGCUGCACCAAAGUUGUUUAAAAUCUAAAGAUAGGCAACCAGCAAUACUUUGAAGUUGAAACGUGUUUCAACUUAAUUGCAACUAGUUCCGACAAUGAUAGCUCCUUCGGGGGAGAGAGUAGGCAAUCUGCACAUCAAUCUAUUAGUUGCAAGAACCAAACGAUUUUGUUGCAAGUUGGUGCAACCUCUGUUACUUGGGUGCAAGUCACUAAAAUGUUAUUCACCUCCUUUUUCAUUGAAGGCUUUAGUUACUUAAGUAUUUUUUUUUAAAAAAAAUUAAAAAUUGCACUUACUUUAUAUCUGCAAUCUAAGUACAUUUGAUUUAUUUUUGUUUCAGAUCGAUUUUGAAAGAUCUUUCCUCUAUUAGUUCCUAUGAUGGUCAUGAUUCAUGGCGGUGGCACGAACUGAAUGACCUUGCUAAUCUUGUUCAGCAACGUAUUGAGAAGCUCCAGAAUCCAACAGAUUGCUUCCGAGCAGAGAAGUUUACUUGUACUCUGAUCAAGGUAUUUUCAACUGAAAUUAUCCAUUCAAAGUUCAAAAGCACGUAUUUUGAAUGUAUUACAAUGUCGCAAGUUAACCCAAAUAUUUUGUCUCCAAAGGAAGCUAAAUUAAUAUUAAAAUUUCUUCUGCUUUUUUUUCCCCCCCAAGGAAUAUUCUGUAAGAAUGUUAGUCAGUAAUAUUGAUUUGUUUUUCUUUG